CACCCUGCAGAUUACCAGCGUUUUCCUUGUAACAAGAUCUGGCUGCCUAGUAUUGAUUUUCCUGCUGUCCUGUGUGCAAACAGAAACAUUGACUGCCAAGGCUGAAGGGGCAACCAGAGGCCCACCCUGCAGCUUCACAGAUAGGAGACGAGAGAGGCCAGCUAGGAAACCCAAUCCCCCACCACCCCCGUGGGUUCAGCAGGGCCCCUGCUGCCCAGACCUGCAGGGCCAGUCCAGUCGAGGGAGGCGCCCAGCUGCACAGGGACCACGGUGAUGUCAUUGGCAGAAGGUCACCUGUAAGUUGGAACAAGUGCCGUGAUGUUUUCAGCUCCCUUCUGCCUGACUCUCCACCUGCCACGUUUGAGGUCUGCUUCGAGCACCAGUGAGGAGGGUGAAAGCUGUCCUGGGCAAGCUCCAGUCUCUCCAGAGCCCCUUCAGGUGCCCUCUGCCUGCCUGCACGCUUGUUCAGGCCAUGUCUCCCACAUGAGCCUCUUUUCCCUACCUCCCCAUAA